rnacentral:tRNA from 1 species
CGGGGCGUAGCGCAGUCUGGUAGCGCACCUGAAUGGGGUUCAGGGGGUCGGAGGUUCGAAUCCUCUCGCCCCGACCA